ensembl:lncRNA
AGACAAAAAUCUGUUCCCAGUUAUCUGCAAUCCAUGACUCUAAAACUCUUCUCCAGACACAGGCUCCUCUGGUCCUACAUAUCAGAUGUGUCAGGUACGUAACUUUUGAAUUCUUUAAUUUAGUGUGAUUAUGACAUAUUUGCCAAACAUGAAGCAAGAUUUAAAUAUCAAUAAAUCAGCUGCAUUGUUUACAUUGUAAGGGAAUCAGAACGCUGUAAUUUAUAUAUACAUUAUUUUUAUUAUUAUUUAUUAUUAUUAUCACCCACUCUCCAUCCCAAUCUAAUAAAUAGCAUUAUUCUUGGGUGUUAAACAGGGUCACAGAGCAUACUUGUUUGAUCAGGCAUCCAAAUAUGAUUUUCAGAUGUUCUUUUUGGCAGUCACACAGAACUAAUGUGAAGUAGCUGAAGUGUGUCACUGAGCACAUGGGCAACUUAUGUGUUACCAGUUAAUUUUGUAAAGUCUUCAGAUGUUGUGGCUGUUAAUAUCAAUACUGUGGGUAGAAGCUGAUCCCUGUUUACAAAAUAUUGGAAAAGAGUGAGCUUCUAAACUUCAGAAAAAUCUGUUGUCCUAAACUUCAAUUCUCAUCCCAAAAUAUAAUUCCUACAAUCAUACAAAAGUGAGGACACUUCUACAAUACAUGGAUCACAGCUGUAUGAGCCUUCUGUUUUGGAAGUUUCAUGUUUUCUGUUUCUUUGAUUCUGUGCUGGAAAACAUCUAAUACGAGGCAUGCAUACAACAUCUAGAUGAGGUGCAUCUGAUACAUCAGCACAUCUGGAAAUGUGAUGAUUUAUUGUACUGUAGCCUCAUUUUUAUGAGGCAUUUAAAACUGUCUUUUCAUAUAUUUAAUAUGGAAUCACUAGUAGUUGAUAAUGGCUUUUCAUCUGCUAUAUAUAGAAUGAUGACUAAAAGAUGAAUGAUGUUAACAAUGUUGACAAGGCUGAAACACAAUGCAAUUACAAAAGCAAGGAUAUUUGCUAUUAUUUGAGAAAAAUGUAUUUUAUAAUCAUGAAAUGCUCUACAUUGCUUCUCAUCAAAGUGUAAAUGUUUUUUCCCUGCAGAAGCACCACUAACAAUAACCUAAUGAAUUUGGGAUGAUCAAUAACAACACUUAGAUGUCUUGAGCAUUAUCUGUAAACUUAAUAUGUUUUAUCUAAGUUAAUUGUAAGGGGAACAGACGGCAAAUUUCAUAGCUUUUAAAGUUGUCCCAGUCUGAAUAGUAUAAAAAAGAGAGGCUAAGUAUAAAAUGCUGUAGAUCCAGAUGCGUAAUUUCACUUGUUAAUGUGUCAGACAGCAAAGAACAGAAAAAAUGAAAAAGAUGACAGGUCCUGCCCACCCUGUUGACUGAGCUGGAUGAGUACAUUUUCCUGUGAUCGUGGGCUUUCCUGACACUGCUGUAAAUUGCAAGAGCAAUGUAUGUGUCUUCAGCAAGCAUACAGCUCUCCUUCAGAUAUUUAAAGGCCACUAUCAGGUCACCCUGUGGCCUUCUCUUCUCCAGCCCUCUCAGACUGUCCUUGUAGGAGAGAUGUUCCAUUCCUUGGAUCGUUUCUGAGGCCCUUCUCUGGACGCACUCCAACAGGUCUAUGUCUCCCCUGUACUGAGGACUCUACAUCUGGACACAGUACUCCAGGUGAGGUCUCACCAGUGCAGAAUAGAGGGGCAGGAUCACCUCCCUUGAGCUGCUGGCCAUGCAUCUUUUGAUGCAACCCUGGAUACAGUUGGCUUUCUGGGCUGAUGAAGGGGUUUUGAGGAGCUUUAUGAGGCAGGAUCUGAGAAGAUUGCCUCUCUUCGUCUUUCCCUCUUCAUUCUUUCUCAUCCAAUAUAAUAAUCCAUCAGCACACACUCAGGUGUUCUCCAGUGUUUGACUUUGGAAGAAGACUCCUGAGUUAUGCAGCAAGCACACGUGGCCAUGGGAUGUGCUAAAGAACGCUUGUUUACAAGCUUAAAAAAAAUGUUUUACAUUUUUAUCAAAGAAAACUGAAAAGCAAUAGCACGUUCAGUAUCAAGCAUCAUUUUGAGUUUUGUGUGUAUCUUUAUAUUAUGUAAUUUAAUUAUUUCCAAAUUUGUACUUUAAAUUUACUUCAGUUUUAUACACCGAUAUUGCACAGCUUACCUUGAGUCUAGCACUAUAUUUCUCACUGCUGAAUGUGCUAUGUGAUGUAAUUUGGAGAGAAAAGCAGCAGCGCGAUUUUUGACAAACACAGAUGUUGGCAAUUGUAAAGGUACUCAAUUAAUGGCUUAAGAGAUAUAGAAAAAUUUGACUUAGCAUUACAGACAGAAAGAUUUAAUUACAAAUCAAAUUGUGAAAUAUUUUUUUUCAAUUUUUUGUUUAACUUCUUUUUACUCUGAUGAGAACCUCUGUCUGGUGCUAUUGAGCAUAUCUGAUGUCCUGCAGCCUCCUUUCUGAGAUGCAUCAUCGCUCUUAGCAGCACGUCCUGAUUUU